GCUGGAGCUACUCUUCAGGCGACUCGUGCAUUGCAGAGUCUUCUUGCUCAACAUGUGCAGCUCACUGUCAGAGUGUGUAUGAACAGAUCAGAGCUCAAAAAAUGCAAGAGCUGCAUGUACAGUAGAUAGCUGUCAGCUAUAAUUUUGACACCUGGAUAUGAGUAUAUGGUGAACAAUAAAAAAUAGCAGUAGAAAAUUUUGAGCCAUUCUCUUGGACUACUGUGCUCUCCGAUGCCAUCAUACCCAUCGAAAGGAAGAAGAAAAGAUCAGAAUUCUCAUGUCACAUAUGCUGAUGAACACAAUUUAGCUUUGUUUCAUAACUACUACUCCUUUAGUCUUUUACAUUCGUACAUGUACGAAAUUAUUUGUUGUGAAACAACUUUCACAUAAACUGGACUAACAAUCAGUCAUUAACUAAGGCUGCGUUCGUUCAUUGGAGAUAGGGGAGAUUGUCACUCGUUUUCCGCGCGUACGCUUUUCAAACUACUAACCGGUGCGGUUUUUGCAAAAAAUUUCUAUAAAAAAGUUAUUUAAAAAAAUCAUAUUAAUCCAUUUUUGAAGUUUAAAAUAAUUAAUACUCAAUUAAUCAUGCGCUAAUGACUCAUCUCGUUUUGCGUAUCUUCCCAAUCCUCUCUCCCUCAAACACAGCCUAAGUUUUGGAUGCACAACGUGCACACCAUCUAACAAAUUCCACUUAAAAUUCUAGAAAAAACUGUACAUGUGCUUCCAAUAGUACUACACAUACAUGUAAAGUCUCCGCUUCAAAGUUAUUUUUAUUUCAUCCGUUUUUUUUUAUAAAACUAAUAGUUUUAAGAAUAUAAGUAAGUUAGAAUUUGGUCUCUCUCUAUAUAUAAUGAAUUUUUUAAAGAGACUUCACACACAAUUACAAUACUAUUGGAAAUACAUGUAUAAUUUUUUCAAGAAUUUUUGAGGAUGCACCCGAAACUUAUUUGCAUAGGAUAGGUUACCUCCUUAAGUAGACUAGUGUCAGAGUAAUAUAUUACCAGCUCAGUUUUUUCGCGAACGCGCAAAAGGAUUACACGUCAAUAUAUUAGAAGAAAAAGAAUUUUUGUUACAAGGGAAGGGAGAAAAAGCAAAGCCAAAAACUGAAGCUUAGGAACUACUGCGGCAGCUAAAAGCAACUCCUAAACAGCGGGAAGGGGCAAAGCCACGCUAUCAGCUCAGCUUCACAUAGUUCUUUUCACUUAGCCAAAGUAGAGUUAUUCACACUGUUCCCUGAAGCUGGAGCAAAUUAGAGGAUUGCAUCUUCCGGCUGUCUUUUUGAUGUCACAAAUUUUCAGACUAUUUGAGAUCAUUUGCAGUAUGAGGAAUCUCCGAUGAGCCCGCUGGCAUGAUGGAGAAGUCCUACUUAGAGUUGUAGACAAAGCAUUGGACAUAAAAGAAAAAAAAAUCCUACAGACAGAGCAACAGGAUCAACGAGUAGUGAACCUCCAAUGUUGCCAAACAAGUGAUGAUGUGUUGCUUCAGAUGUUCAUUUGAUCAGAUAUGCUCAGAUCCUUACAACUUGGCAGGUGAAUACAAAUGGUGGAUCCUGCUUACGAUAUCUGAAACAAGUUUCAACAAUCAACACCGAUGAAACUUCCACGUACCUCUGUUGUUUCGUUCUUUUUGUGCUUUUGUCAUCCAUAAGAACCCAACAGUACAAUCUCUUGAGCGUGCAGCUUACUCUGCUUGCAAUGCAUGAGACAUGACAACACAGCAAAGGUUAGUUAGCAGUGUACCUGGAAUUAGACAACAUCUGAAGGGCAUCACCUUGUCUGCAGCUGCAUUGGCCAUGCAAUCAAAGAGCAGAUGGGAGAGCAGAGCAGUGGAGAUUCCUGCUGUC
rnacentral:lncRNA from 1 species